GUAGGUGAACCUGCGGAAGGAUCAUUACAGAGCUAGGGUCUUCCAGGCCCGAUCUCCAACCCUUUGUAUAUUUACCUUUGUUGCUUUGGCGGGCCCGUUGGGGCGACCCACCGGUGGCUUUUGGCUCCCGAGUGCCCGUCAGAGACCCAUCCAAACCUGUCAAUUGUGUCGUCUGAGUACCAACUUAAUAAUUAAAACUUUCAACAACGGAUCUCUUGGUUCUG
rnacentral:misc_RNA from 1 species